rnacentral:rRNA from 1 species
AUUGAACGCUGGCGGCAGGCCUAACACAUGCAAGUCGAGCGAGGGGCGGACGGGUGAGUAAUGUAGGGGGCUCCGCCCGAGAGAGGGGGAAAAAUAGUGGAAACGGUGGAAAACACCGCAAACUAAGGGGUGAACCCAUAUGGGAUUAGCUAGUAGGGGGGGAAAAGGCUCACCUAGGCGACGAUCUCUAGCUGGUCUGAGAGGAUGAUCAGCCACACUGGGACUGAGACACGGCCCAGACUCCUACGGUAGGCAGCAGUGGGGAAUAUUGCACAAUGGGCGCAAGCCUGAUGCAGCCAUGCCGCGUGUAUGAAGAAGGCCUUAGGGUUGUAAAGUACUUUCAGCGGGGAGGCGUUACCCGCAGAAGAAGCACCGGCUAACUCCGUGCCAGCAGCCGCGGUAAUAC